AAAGCUGAGCCUCCGGAACCUUUACACGCGAGCUUCCCCAAACCCGGACGCGAUUGGGCGCUGCGCGGAGGCUGGCCCGAGCCGGUUGCCAGGGCGACGCCUGCGAAGAUGGCUGCUGCGUCUUCCUCGGAUUCAGACGGCGGCAGAGCUGAGAGCAGUGAAGCCAAUUCGAAAUGGUUGGACGCACACUACGACCCCAUGGCCAACAUCCACACCUUUUCCGCCUGCCUGGCGCUGGCAGAUUUGCAUGGGGACGGGGAGUACAAGCUGGUGGUGGGAGACCUUGGCCCAGGUGGGCAGCAGCCCCGCCUGAAGGUGUUUAAAGGACCCACGGUGCUGAGUGAAAGCCCACUGCCUGCACUACCAGCCGCCGCUGCCACCUUCCUCAUGGAGCAACAUGAGCCCCGGACACCAGCUCUGGCACUCGCGUCGGGCCCUUGCGUGUAUGUGUAUAAGAAUCUCAGGCCCUACUUCAAGUUCAGCCUGCCCGACUUGCCUCCAAACCCGCUGGAGCAAGACCUUUGGAACCAGGCCAAAGAGGACCGCAUUGACCCCUUGACCCUGAAGGAGAUGCUGGAGGGCAUCCGGGAGAAGGCAGAGGUGCCUUUGUCUGUACAGUCGCUCAGGUUUCUGCAGCUGGAGCUGAGGGACAUGGAGGCGUUUGUGAACCAGCACAAGUCCAAGCCCAUCAGGCGGCAGACGGUCAUCACCACCAUGGCCACCUUAAAGAAAAACCUGGCUGAUGAGGACGCUGUGUCCUGCCUGGUGCUGGGCACGGAGAACAAGGAGCUGCUGGUGCUGGACCCGGGGGCCUUCACCAUCUUGGCCCAGAUGAGCCUACCCAGCGUCCCCGUCUUCCUGGAGGUUUCUGGCCAGUUCGACGUGGAGUUCCGUCUUGCCGCCGCCUGCCGCAACGGGAACAUCUAUAUGCUGAGGAGAGACUCCAAGCGCCCCAAGUACUGCAUCGAGCUGAGCGCCCAGCCUGUGGGGCUUGUCCGGGUACACAAGAUCCUGGUGGUGGGCAGCAACCAAGACAGCCUGCACGGCUUCACCCACAAGGGUAAGAAGCUGUGGACAGUGCCGAUGCCUGCAGCCAUCCUGACCAUGAACCUCCUGGAGCAGCAGUCCCGGGGCCUGCAGGCCGUCAUGGCCGGGCUGGCCAAUGGGGAGGUCCGCAUUUACCACGACAAGGCCCUGCUCAACGUCAUCCGCACGCCGGAUGCGGUGACCAGCCUUUGUUUUGGCCGCUAUGGGAGAGAAGAUAACACCCUCAUCAUGACCACACGAGGUGGGGGCCUGCUUAUCAAGAUUCUGAAGCGCACAGCAGUGUUCGUGGAGGGGGGCGGUGAGGCCGGCCCCCCACCAGCCCAGGCCAUGAAACUCAACGUGCCCCGAAAGACCCGGCUUUAUGUGGAUCAGACCCUGCGAGAGCGGGAAGCUGGCACCGGUUCGAUUCCUGGCCUGGAAACUUCUGUAUGCCACCAGCAGCAGCACCUCCCACCCCCUGCCCACCGCACGCCAAAAAGGAGAGGUUAAGGGAUGGGAUAAAGGCAGAAGGCGCGAGGACACACAAGGCGCGAGGACAGAAGGGCCGGGCCGGGCCCUCCGUCUGGAAAGGAGGACAGUGGAGGUGGAGCCGGAACCGUGGGUCUGGAGAGGGCUCUGAGGAAGAGGCAUCCGAUCCUGGCACAUGAUUAGAUGUGAGGGGAACCUUGGUGGCUGGACGGGUGGGGGUGCCGUGAAAUGAGGAGCGUCUCCGCAGCGUUGAGCUCUUGGUGUUGAUGGGACGUCCAGGUGGUUGGAAACAGCAGGCAGGCGGGGCCCUGCACUGCUGCAGGUGAGCGACACUACCAGGUGACAUGGGCCAGCCCCGAGCUGGGCACUGAGGACUCGGCAGUGGUGACCCCCCGCCCUCCGGAGCUGGCAGGUGUUCCUCUUGGGGUCACUGCCAGGGCGGGAUUGUACAGCGGGGAAGAGAGAGGACGAGAAGAGCAGCCAGGAAAAAACUCGAGGGGACCCUGGCCCUCAGUAGAAGGAGCCAGCGGGGGAGGCUGGGGCUGUGCGGGCAGCCAGGAAGGAGCAGGGAGUGGUCCACAGCGUCCAGCGUCACCAAAGGCUGGGCUGUGGGCCUGGGUCCUCCUGUCUCCCACGUCCCCAGCCUCUGCCCGCUGUGCCUUCCUCUCCCCGCCCCUGUGGCCUCCUCCGCGUCAGCGCUUCAUGUCGCUCCCCCAGCCAUGCACCGGGCCUUCCAGGCAGACCUCUACCUGCUGCGCCUCCGGGCCGCCCGUGCCUACGUGCAGGCCCUCGAGUCCAGCCUGAGCCCUGUGUCCGCAACCGCCCGGGAGCCGCUCAAGCUGCACGCUGUGGUUCAGGGCCUGGGCCCCACCUUUAAGCUGACACUGCACCUGCAGAACGUCUCUGCAGCCCGGCCCAUCGUGGGGCUGCGGGUCUGCUUCCUGUACAACGAGGUGCUCUACGCCCUGCCCCGGGCCUUCUUCAAGGUCCCCAUGCUGGUGCCAGGGCUCAGCUACCCCCUGGAGACCUUUGUGGAGAGUCUUAGUGACAAGGGCAUCUCAGACAUUAUCAAGGUGCUGGUGCUUCGAGAAGGCCAGAGCGCACCGCUGCUUAGUGCCCACAUCAACAUGCCCGUGAGUGAGGGGCUGGCAGCCGCCUGACCCCUGGGCUGAUGCUAAAGCCCCUGUGGAAUCAGGACCAGGAAGAUCCAGCCCCUUCCUCUGAGCCAGGCAGAGUCACUGCUCCCAGGCCCACUCCCAGGCAGCGGCAUGCUGGGGUGCCAGCCUCCCCUCCUCUCCUAAGUGCCCCUUUCUCACCACCUGACCAGAGACCUGUAGCAGCAAGUCAGUGAAUACCUGGGAGGUUGAGGUCUUUGCGCCCCAGGAAGCCCAGGCAUUGGCCCUCGGACUCCUGCUGCUCUUCUGCUCUCCCCACUUUCCCCAAAAACCAGACCCAGGUCUGAAGGAAGAGUUCCCAGUGGUUCAGGUGAGAUGAGGGCAUAGGCCCAGCUGCUUCCUCUAGGCACCUCUCUCUGCUGUGCUGCAGAAUUGGCAAGGGCCCAGCCUGGACAACAGGCUUUGCUUGGGUGAUGCUGAACCCUCUCUGGUUCCCUGGGGUUCCAGAGGCUUGGCUGCUGCCAGCUCAGCUUGCAAGCAAAACACAUGCUCUGAUCUUCUUUCGUGACCUCAGCAAGGGGCCCCUCUCGCUGCUCAAGGGGCCCUGAAAAUAAAUGCCUUCCCGGGGGCUGUUCUGAAGUCUUGAGCUCAGCCAAGCCCUCAGGCCUGUGAUGCUCCAUUAAGAUUGCCAAGGGAGAAGCUGGUACGGGAGGGGAGAGGGUGCCCGUUCAGGGAGCCCCCACCAGGCUUCUGCAGACCACACAGCUGCUGCUCCUUGGAGGCUCGGGCCCAGAAAGCCUCCCAGGAAAGGCGGGCUCGGCUAGACAGAGCAGAGUGGGGCAGGAGCACACAAGAAAGGCAUCUCUGGGGUCCUGGGGGCACAGGAGGCAGAAGCCCAGAACCGCUAGUCAAGACGCUCUUCUGUGCCCUGGAGCCCAGGUGAGUCAGGUGAGCGGCACGUCCCCAGGGCAGUGGCCACAGUUGAGAGAUUAGCUGCAAAGACAUGGACUGUGGUGUGGUGUGAAGCUGAAGACGAAAUGAAGGUGCAGGUCUAGACCAGAAGGGCCAGAGAGCCACAGUCCGGCCCUUGGUGCCUCCUGGAGCCCCUGGCUGGUCUGCCUGGCCCACCUCACCGCCUUCUUCUGGGUUAGUGCCACCAGGGCCCCCGGAGCCAUUUGUGAGCCACGAGCCCUACUCCCUGAGGAAGAACCAGCAUCUUCCUCUGUCUGAGCAGGCGCAGCCCAGCGUGGCCAGCAGCUCUGGCGGGGGGGCAAGUCACCAAAUCCCUGCGUGUUUCGGCCUCCCCAAGUGUAAAAUGAGGCGGUUUGACCAGGUUCAGCUCUUUAACAUCCUAGAGCUUGGCAGCCCCUCUAAGGAAACAAGGAGUUAACUCCAGAAAGGGUUCUUGACGGGAUAAGUGCAGGGCUUUUGCUCUUGAGACCAAGCUGACUGAUUCUGCUGGGCGACAGCCUCUGUGCCCAAGACACUGAGGGACAGCCCACAGCCACCACAUCCUUCCCAAGGAGGGCACUCUGGGGCCAGGUUAAGAAGCAAGGGGUCUGGACCAAAGGAAGAGCCCACCCCCCUCCUCUCCUCCUGGUCUAGACAUGCGCAAACAUAGGCCUGUUGGUCAGUGGUCAGGAGUUCCUAGAUGCAGUCCACCGAGGCACAGCCGGAGUAAGCCGGGGCUUAAUCUGGAGAUGGAGACGCCAGAGGGAGUGUCGCCGUCAGAGAUUUCAGCUUGACCUGAGCGUCUUCUGAGAGCUUAUCAGAGAUGAAGGCCUGCCCUGGAAGGUCCUAAGUCCCUUGUCCCUGGAGCUGUCACUGGGACCAGGCCAGACGGCCUUGCAGUCCCUUUCACUCCAGUCAAGUGAUGAACUGUGCGAACUCGGAACAAAGAGGUCCGACCUGUUCCUAAGCCCAGUACCUAACGUGAAUUUCACGUUGUCAUACUACAUACCCAUUAUUAAAAAAUACGUGCCCGGCA